AUCCGCAAAAGAGCUGAAAGGAAGGUCAGCUUCUCAGAAGACACUGUUUCUGUCAUGUGUAUUGGACUUUGGGGUUUCAUUAGCAUGGUCUACUUUUAACCGUUUUGCUGCUGACAUCAUCUCCGUUUUGGCCAUGACCAUGAGUGGGGAGCGUGAGUGCCUCAAGUAUCGGCUAGUGGGCUCCCAGGAGGAAUUGGCAUCAUGGGGUCAUGAGUAUGUCAGACGCUGGAUUCCUUGACCCACAGAGAAGUGCUUCCCCUGAAGCUGUGCUCUCUUAAUCGUCUGGGACUAUCUGUAGGCAUCUGGCAGGAGAAGUGGCUAAGGAGUGGCAGGAGCUGGAUGACGCAGAGAAGGUCCAGCGGGAGCCUCUGCUCACUCUGGUGAAGGAAAUCGUCCCCUAUAACAUGGCCCACAAUGCAGAGCAUGAGGCUUGCGACCUGCUUAUGGAAAUUGAGCAGGUGGACAUGCUGGAGAAGGACAUUGAUGAAAAUGCAUAUGCAAAGGUCUGCCUUUAUCUCACCAGUUGUGUGAAUUACGUGCCUGAGCCUGAGAACUCAGCCCUACUGCGUUGUGCCC
rnacentral:sRNA from 1 species